GCAUGGUUGUCGUCAGCUCGUGUCGUGAGAUGUUGGGUUAAGUCCCGCAACGAGCGCAACCCUUGUCUUUAGUUGCCAGCAUUAAGUUGGGCACUCUAGAGAGACUGCCAGGGAUAACCUGGAGGAAGGUGGGGAUGACGUCAAAUCAUCAUGCCCCUUAUGCUUAGGGCUACACACGUGCUACAAUGGGUAGUACAGAGGGUUGC
rnacentral:rRNA from 1 species